rnacentral:rRNA from 1 species
UACGUAGGUGGCAAGCGUUGUCCGGAUUUACUGGGCGUAAAGAGCGCGCAGGCGGUCGAUCAAGUCGCGUGUGAAAGCCCCCGGCUCAACUGGGGAGGGUCACGCGAUACUGAUCGACUCGAAGGCAGGAGAGGGUAGUGGAAUUCCCGGUGUAGUGGUGAAAUGCGUAGAUAUCGGGAGGAACACCAGUGGCGAAGGCGACUACCUGGCCUGUUCUGACGCUGAGGCGCGAAGCUAGGGGAGCAACGGGG